rnacentral:tRNA from 1 species
GCCGAGGUAGCAAAGUCCGGCCUACCGCGCCGGCCUUGAGAGCCGGUUUCCCCUCGUGGGAAGCGAGAGUUCAAAUCUCUCCCUCGGCG